CCUACGGGAGACAGCAGUGGGGGAUAUUGCACAAUGGGGGAAACCCUGAUGCAGCGACGCCGCGUGUGGGAAGACGGUCCUCUGGAUUGUAAACCACUGUCACCAGGGACGAAGAUGACGGUACCUGGGGAGGAAGCUCCGGCUAACUACGUGCCAGCAGCCGCGGUAAUACGUAGGGAGCGAGCGUUGUCCGGAAUUACGGGGUGUAAGGGGAGCGUAGGGGGGACUGCAAGUAGGGUGUCAAGUGUACGGGCCAACCCGGUAGCCGCACGCAAAACUGCAAUUCUUGAGUGAAGUAGAGGCAGGCGGAAUUCGUGGUGUAGCGGUGAAAUGCGUAGAUAUUAGGAGGAACACCAGUGGCGAAGGCAGCCUGCUAAGCUGUUACUGACACUGAGGCUCGAAAGUGUGGGGAUCAAACAGGAUUAGAUACCCGAGUAGUC
rnacentral:rRNA from 1 species